AGGUAUUUCUAUACAUUCCAGAAUUUGUAAUAUACAUACACAUAACCCAAAAUUUACAAUUGUUUUGUUUAUGAACUUCAAAUACAAGGGAAAGUCAAUAAGUAGCGACGUCGAAGAAUUAAAUUGAAAUAUUGUAGUUUUUUGAGUAACAACAGCCGGAGCCGUACACAAUUAUCAAGCAAUCAGAUUGGAGGUUAUGUUUAUGAAUGGUGUAUGAAACCGAGUUGUUUCUCUUGCUUGAAAAUGGAAUGUGAAUAUAAGUAUGGAAAAUUUAAAGAACAAGAAGUACAACUGUUAAUGACCUUAGUUAAUAAAUAUAAGGUCAUUAUAGAAAAUAAAAAAACAGACGCAAUUACAUGGAAACAAAAACAAACCACAUGGGAGGAAAUUACUAACGAAUUUAAUGCCAAUAAUGAUGUAUAUAGAAGUUGUAAAAAUAUUAAAGGUAAAUAUGAGAAUCUAAAAAAAAAUGCAAAAAAAAAAUUUGCAACCGAAAAGCGAA